rnacentral:rRNA from 1 species
GGUGAGUAACACGUGGGUAACCUGCCCAUCAGAAGGGGAUAACACUUGGAAACAGGUGCUAAUACCGUAUAACAAUCAAAACCGCAUGGUUUUGAUUUGAAAGGCGCUUUCGGGUGUCGCUGAUGGAUGGACCCGCGGUGCAUUAGCUAGUUGGUGAGGUAACGGCUCACCAAGGCCACGAUGCAUAGCCGACCUGAGAGGGUGAUCGGCCACAUUGGGACUGAGACACGGCCCAAACUCCUACGGGAGGCAGCAGUAGGGAAUCUUCGGCAAUGGACGAAAGUCUGACCGAGCAACGCCGCGUGAGUGAAGAAGGUUUUCGGAUCGUAAAACUCUGUUGUUAGAGAAGAACAAGGAUGAGAGUAACUGUUCAUCCCUUGACGGUAUCUAACCAGAAAGCCACGGCUAACUACGUGCCAGCAGCCGCGGUAAUACGUAGGUGGCAAGCGUUGUCCGGAUUUAUUGGGCGUAAAGCGAGCGCAGGCGGUUUCUUAAGUCUGAUGUGAAAG